GUAUAAUGGGUCAGCGACUUAUAUUCUGUAGCAAGGUUAACCGUAUAGGGGAGCCGCAGGGAAACCGAGUCUUAACUGGGCGUUAAGUUGCAGGGUAUAGACCCGAAACCCGGUGAUCUAGCCAUGGGCAGGUUGAAGGUUGGGUAACACUAACUGGAGGACCGAACCGACUAAUGUUGAAAAAUUAGCGGAUGACUUGUGGCUGGGGGUGAAAGGCCAAUCAAACCGGGAGAUAGCUGGUUCUCCCCGAAAGCUAUUUAGGUAGCGCCUCGUGAACUCAUCUUCGGGGGUAGAGCACUGUUUCGGCUAGGGGGUCAUCCCGACUUACCC
rnacentral:rRNA from 1 species